rnacentral:rRNA from 1 species
GCACCCCAGUCAGGCGGG